rnacentral:rRNA from 1 species
UACGGAGGGUGCGAGCGUUACCCGGAUUUACUGGGAGUAAAGGGCGUGUAGGCGGUCUCUCAAGUCCGAUGCUAAAGACCGAAGCUCAACUUCGGGGGUGCGUUGGAUACUGUGAGGCUAGACGGUCGGAGAGGGUAGCGGAAUUUCCGGAGUAGCGGUGAAAUGGGCAGAUACCGGAAGGAACGCCAAUAGCGAAGACAGCUACCUGGACGAUUUGUGACGCUGAGGCGCGAAAGCGUGGGGAGCGAACCGG